rnacentral:rRNA from 1 species
AGAGUUUGAUCAUGGCUCAGGAUGAACGCUGGCGGCGUGCCUAACACAUGCAAGUCGAGCGGGGUUUUUAGGAAGCUUGCUUUUUAAAAACUUAGCGGCGGACGGGUGAGUAACGCGUGGGUAACCUGCCCUAUACACAGGGAUAACAUUGAGAAAUUGAUGCUAAUACCUGAUAAGCCAACGGAUAGGCAUCUAUAAGUUGGAAAAACUGAGGUGGUAUAGGAGGGGCCCGCGUCUGAUUAGCUAGUUGGUGGGGUAAAGGCCUACCAAGGCGACGAUCAGUAGCCGACCUGAGAGGGUGAUCGGCCACAUUGGAACUGAGACACGGUCCAAACUCCUACGGGAGGCAGCAGUGGGGAAUAUUGCACAAUGGGGGGAACCCUGAUGCAGCAACGCCGCGUGAAGGAAGARGUAUUUCGGUAUGUAAACUUCUAUCGACAGGGAAGAAGAGAAUGACGGUACCUGAAUAAGAAGCACCGGCUAAAUACGUGCCAGCAGCCGCGGUAAUACGUAUGGUGCAAGCGUUAUCCGGAUUUACUGGGUGUAAAGGGUGAGUAGGCGGUUAUGCAAGUCAUAUGUGAAAUUCUGGAGCUCAACUCCAGCGCUGCAUAAGAAACUGUGUAACUAGAGUACAGGAGAGGUAAGCGGAAUUCCUAGUGUAGCGGUGAAAUGCGUAGAUAUUAGGAAGAACACCGGUGGCGAAGGCGGCUUACUGGACUGAAACUGACGCUGAGUCACGAAAGCGUGGGGAGCGAACAGGAUUAGAUACCCUGGUAGUCC